CUUGGGGGAAAAAAGGCAUUCUAUGGUCUGGGAUGUUUUGGGGUGGGAAUUGGAUGAGUUGUCACACCAUGGUAGUCAAUGUGGUAAACAAGAUCUAAAUCAUUGUUGCUGAGAUGCUGAUGUUCUCUGCAUGUUCAUGGAUUGUCAUCUGCUUUGCGUCUUCAUCAAGAACCUUGUUUUUCUCUUGUCCAUUUAUGUGGAGUGGUAACAUUCUCUGUUCUUUCAUUGA
rnacentral:misc_RNA from 1 species